UUACAAUCAGCACUUCUUUGUUAUUUCCUCAAGAAGUUGAAGCUUCUGAAGAUAUAAACCUACCAGUUACUUCAACUAGAGGAGAAAGUAUAGUUAAUUGCUUAUCUACCUUUGAAGUAGGAUCAACGUCGAGUGCAUCUUAUGCUGCAAACAGAUCAAGUUCAAGACGUACUUCAAAUAGAGGUGACUCCAAAGAAUCCCAACAUUUUCGAACUUACAGUAGAGCCUACAAUAAUAUGUUUGCAUUCACUUCACUUGGAGUACAUUAUGAUAGAGAAUUAGCAAGGAGAAAUCGUGGCAUCUAUACAUUUAAAGUCCAAGGACAAAUGUAUCACUUCAUUGAUGAUUUGAUACCCUCAGGAGGAAAAGGAAAAAAUUUACAAUUAUAUUUCUAUGAUAAUGAAAAUGAGCCAACAAACCGAAUGGCAUUAUCAGAUAAUCUUAAUGAGAUAAUUGUUACAAAGCUCAUAGAUAUACUAAAAGUUAAUCCUUAUUCUACUUUUUUAAGAUCGCUAACAGCUCUUCCAAAUUUAUGUGAAUUUUAUAUUGCUCUAAACUCAAG